UACCCGCAGCACAAGUGGUGGUCAUUAUUAUUGGGCCUAAAGCGUCCGUAGCUGGCUGUUAGAUGCCUGGGUAAAUCGAAUGCGCUCAACGUAUCGAACUCCGGGUAGACCGGCAGGCUUGGGACCGGGAGAGGCGUGAGCUACUCGAGGGGUAGGGGUAAAAUCCUGUAAUCCUUCGGGGAGGACCAGUGGCGAAGGCGUCACGCUAGAACGGCUCCGACAGUG
rnacentral:rRNA from 1 species